rnacentral:rRNA from 1 species
GAUGAACGCUAGCGGCAGGCCUAACACAUGCAAGUCGAGGGGCAGCACAGAAACAGCAAUGUUUUGGUGGCGACCGGCGGACGGGUGCGUAACGCGUAUGCAACCUACCUUUAACAGGGGGAUAACGGAGAGAAAUUUCCACUAAUACCCCAUAACAUCGAUCAAGGCAUCUUGAUUGGUUGAAAACUCCGGUGGUUAAAGAUGGGCAUGCGUUGUAUUAGGUAGUUGGUGAGGUAAUGGCUCACCAAGCCUACGAUACAUAGGUGAACUGAGAGGCUGGCCCCCCAGACUGGUACUGAGACACGGACCAGACUCCUACGGGAGGCAGCAGUGAGGAAUAUUGGUCAAUGGGGGCAACCUUGAACCAGCCAUGCCGCGUGCAGGAAGACGGCUCUAUGAGUUGUAAACUGCUUUUAAACAGGGAUAAAGCACAGUAUGUAUACUGUGUUGAAGGUACUGUAAGAAUAAGGAUCGGCUAACUCCGUGCCAGCCGCCGCGGUAA